GGGCCGGUAGCUCAGUUGGUAGAGCAUCUGACUUUUAAUCAGAUGGUCACAGGUUCGAUCCCUGUCCGGCUCACCA
rnacentral:tRNA from 1 species